UUUUUUUUGUAGUUCAUAAGCAUGAUGAUUGGGUGUUCAUGCAUGCGUGUGUGAGAUGUGCCACCCUCGAACCUUGUGAAGAUAUUGGCAUAUUACCCGUCUGACA
ensembl:snoRNA